GUCGUCCUCAGCCUAAGGUAUCGUGGUGGUUUGGAGAAGCAGUGAUCGACGACUCCUGGCUGGCCAUGGGGUCGGGCGUAGUGUCAAACAACCUAGUGCUUAACCCUCUCACCCGCGCCCACGCCCACUCUGUACUCACCUGCAAGGCCUCCACCGCACCUGUCGCCGUCACCACCACUACCGUCACCAUCGACAUGCAUUUGCGACCUCUAUCGGCGGAGAUCACAGGGGCAGCGGUGAGCGGGUCAGUCAGGGCAGGUGACAUGCUUGACCUGACCUGUACGGCGAGAGGGUCACGACCUCACCCCAUCAUCUCUUGGUACAAAGGCGCAACCCUCCUACGGACAGAGAACACGGAUAGGAAGGACGUCACGAGUAUGGGUGGAGUGAGUCACGUGAGGGUGGCGGUACAGAGGCGUGACAACGGGGCCAGAAUCACCUGUCGUGUCACCAACCCCGCUCUACCUCUCCACACCUUGCAAGACCACAUCGUCAUUAACGUUACCUACGCACCAGAGGUUGAGUUAAGGAUGGGGAAGCCGCUUGAAGGAACAGUGGUGAGAGAGGACACGAACCUUUACCUCACCUGCCACGUAGACGCCAACCCUCUACCACACACACUCGUCUUCAUGCACCAGGGCAUAGAGGUUCACCAGGACAAGAUGGCUCGGGUGCUGGUGAACGGGAACAACCUGGUGUUGAACCGUGUGAGGCGAACACAGGCUGGCGAGUACUCCUGCAAGGCCACCAACUCUGAGGGUACAGGAACCAGCCCACCUGUCAACAUCACCGUCCUCUACGCGCCCGUGUGUGCUCUGGCCAAGGAGGUUUGGGCUGAACCUGGCGCCACCGUCACUGCCCAAUGUCGCGUCCACGCCUCCCCCAUCAAACCCAUCCAUUUCUCCUGGGUGUGGGAAACAAACUCCUACUCCCGCCGCGUCAUCCCCUCCCACGUCAACUCCAUAGGGGCCUUCUCCAGCGUUAACUUCACCGUGCCCCGUGAUAAUGUGACGGAAGUAGGGCCCAAUAACCAGCUAGGUGCCCUUCAGUGUUGGGCUGAGAAUACUGUAGGGAGACAAGAUAAACCCUGCAUCGUCGCCGUCAAGAAACCCGCGCCGCCGUCAGCUCCCAUCAACUGUAGUCUGUCAGGACAAGGGCGGGAGGUAGUCACUGUCAGCUGUCAGUCGGGUGAUCCUCCCUCCAUGCCCCAGACCUACCGCCUUCAGAUCUACGAGGCCCACACCAGGAAGCUCUACCACAACGUCAGCAGUCCAGUGCCAAGGUUCCUGGUGCGUGGCCUCACCUCUGGUCAGGACUACGUGGUGUAUGUGUCGUCUCACACCUCCUACGGCAGGAGUCCUUACCGCCUGGUGGAGGCCUUCACCUUCAAGACGGCAGAGAACCGUAUGCGUAGCACGUCUUCACCACCCUCCCUCUCUACCAUCAUCAUGUUCGUAUGUGGGGUGGGAGCCAUCGUCAUCAUAGUCAUCAUUGUCGUCACCGUCGUCAGGUUGAGGCUGAGGAAGUCAAGUCAUAAGUGUGUGAGAAGGACGGCCACCGCUACUGUCUCUGAGCUGCCUAAGGAUAUCUUGUCCGGAGACCAGAAACAGUCGCCGGAUGGGAAGGAAGGACCAGCCAGCGGGAACCACCUCUCUAAGAGCUCCCAGCUGACUGUGAAGGACGCUGCACACACCAAGGAGAGCAUCCCCCUCCAACCCAUCAUCCGCCAGUCCUCCAGGCCCCUGCAGCCCAUCAUCAAGGAGAACGGCCGCUCCGACAACGGUGGCAAGAGCUCCCAGGGGCGGACGGUACUCUUCGUGGAGCCACCCAAGCCACAGGGUGGAAUCCUGGUGAAUAAAAACGAAGUGCCGAGAACCACGUAUGACUCCAUGUACCAGAGCAGGAGAGGACCCAUGAAAGGACCCAACGGCGACGUGGUGUCUCACAACCUGUACCUGCCCCGGGGGUCGUACUCCGACUCACUCCACACCCUGCACGUGGGCCGAGGGGUCGACGGCCUUGGCGGGUACUCGGACAGGGAUCUGUCUAUGGUAAGGGAUCGGGAGCCCCCCUCCAUUUUAAGGGAUCCCCCUUCCAUUUUAAGGGACCGGGAUCCUCCACCAUCCAUUUUAAGAGACCGGGAUCCUCCACCAUCCAUUUUAAGGGACCGGGAUCCUCCACCAUCCAUUUUAAGGGACCGGGAUCCUCCACCAUCCAUUUUAAGGGACCGGGAUCCUCCACCAUCCAUUUUAAGGGACCGGGAUCCUCCACCAUCCAUUUUAAGGGACCGGGAUCUUCCACCAUCUAUUCUAAGGGAUCGAGAGCCACCCUUGGGCAGAUACCGGGCCUCGCUCGACGACCGGGGAGACACCGGGGAGUUAUUGGACCCACAGUUCUCUUCUAGCGCUUCCAGCACCCUAGGCAGGGAGCCCUACGGUUCCCCCCGCAGUGCCAUUAGGAGCGGGGGCGUUGCCCUGGUUACCUCUCCUCCCUUCACACGUGAGCUCGGCAGGGACAUGAGUAGGGACCUGCCAAGGGAUCUUGGUCGGGACCUGCCAAGGGAUCUUGGUCGGGACCUUCCUAGGGAUCUUGGUCGGGAUCUUCCUAGGGAUCUUGGUCGGGACCUUCCUAGGGAUCUUGGUCGGGAUCUCCCUAGGGAUCUUGGUCGGGAUCUUCCUAGGGAUCUUGGUCGGGACCACCCGAGGGAGAGGGACCACCCGAGGGACAGGGAACACCCGAGGGAGAGGGACCACCCGAAGGACAGGGACCACCAGAGGGAGAGGGACCUAGGCAGGGACCCCAGUGGCCACAUCUUCACCUUCCCCACCCGCACUGUUAGUCACGAGUACGACCCCUUGAUCCCCCGGUCGCCGCCCCCCAUCUCCUGCAUGAAGAAGUCGCCCAGUGUGAGUGCGUCUGUGGGCCGCCACUACGACCCGCCGCCCCGCAGGUCUGAGGGCAGUGGGUACCGCUCCCUCCCGCGUCCCAGCAAAACCCGCGGGGCAGAGGCGGACGCCCUGCUCAAGUACCGUUCCUUGGACAGACGUUUCGACCUGCCUUUCAGUGGGUCUUUGCCCCGACCUGAACCCGAGGUGGGUGAGGAGACCCCGCCCCAGCACCGCCGCUACAGCGGGUCGCCCCGCAUGAGGUUCGGGGACGAGAAGCACUUCCACGUGUACCACGACAAAGAGAAAAAACAAGAUGCUUGGCGGACCUUCACCUCCCGUGGCCACCACCAGACCUUCACCAGCUACACCAGAAGCCCUGAUCACCCUUAGGUCCAGUCCCAGUCACAGGAGUCAGGUCCUAUUAGAGGAGUCAGGUCCAGUGUUCCAGUUACAGGAAUCAUUUUACAUCCACAGGUGAGCGACAGGUGAUAACGAUGAUAAUGAGGCAGGUCGACCCCCUACACCCAGUUCCAGAUCAACCUGUCCUGCCCUGUGUGUUGUGUUGUGAAGGAGAAAGACGCUAGACUCAUUCAUUUACGGU
rnacentral:misc_RNA from 1 species